GGCUCAGUAACACGUGGAUAAUCUGCCUUAUGAUUCGGAAUAACAUCGGGAAACUGAUGAUAACACUGAAUAAGAAGAUUGAUACUGGAAAUGGUACUUUUUUUUGAAACAGUUAGGUCAUAAAGAUGAGUUGGCGGGCUGAUUAAGCUUUGGUUGGGUAAAGGUAAAUGGCCUCCACCCAAAGGCGAAAGAUCCAGUAAGGGGAGAUGAGAGUUCUUAAGCCCCGAGAAAGGACACUAAGACCAAAGGGUCCUAGCUYUAAGGNAGUGCAGCAGCCGCGAAACCUUUUGCAAUGCACGAAAGUGUGACAAGGGAACCCCAAGUGCUUGCUGUUUUCAGUGAGCUUUUGCCAAGAGUAAAUAUCUUGGCGAAUAAGUGGUGGGCAAGACCGGUGCCAGCCGCCGCGGUAACACCGGCGCCACAAGUGGCGAUCAUUAUUAUUGGGCCUAAAGCAUCCGUAGCCGAUUAUAUAAGUCUCCUGUGAAAUCGUUGAGCUUAACUCAACGGCGUGCAGGAGAGACUGUUUGGUUAGAGACUGGGAGGAGAUAGGAGUAUUCCUUGGGAAGCGGUAAAAUGUGAUAAUCCUUGGAGGACUACCAGUGGCGAAGGCGCCUAUCUAGAACGGGUCUUGACGGUGAGGGAUGAAAGCUUGGGGGAGCCGAAAUGGAUUAGAUACCCACGUAGUUCCCAGCCGUAAACCGCUUGCGAACUGGGUGGUUGCAUAUUCUUACGAGAAUGUGCAGUGCCGAAAGCGAAGGUGUUUAAGUUCGCCGCCUGGGAAGUACGGCCGCAAGACUGAAACUCAAAGGAAUUGACGG
rnacentral:rRNA from 1 species